AAUUAGCGUAGAGGCGACGAAGUCCGCUUACCUAUAUGGGCACCAUGGGAGCGGAUGGAGCCACUGGUGCAACCGGCUACUGAGAAG
rnacentral:ncRNA from 2 species